GGUGCUUUGUAUGUAUUAUAGAUAUUGUUUGUAAUUGUAUUCAAUGCGAAUAGAGUGAUAAAAUGCCCAAGGCUACAGCAGCCAGAUUUCAAGUCGUGGAUAGCUCGAGAUGAAGACGACAACAAUAAGGCGUAAUGCAGAAUUUGCAAAUAUUGCAACAUUUACGA